GCUGGGCGUGGUGGCGCGUGCCUGUAGUCCCAGCUACUCGGGAGGCUGAGGUGGGAGGAUCGCUUGAGCCCAGGAGUUCUGGGCUGUAGUGCGCUAUGCCGAUCGGGUGUCUGCACUAAGUUUGACAUCAAUGUGGUGACCUCCUGGGAGUGAGGGACCACCAGGUUGCCUAAGAAGGGGUGAACCGGCCCAAGUCAGAAACGGAGCAGGUCAAAACUCCCGUGCUGAUCAGUAGUGGGAUCGCGCCUGUAAAUAGCCGCUGCACUCCAGCCUGGGCAACAUAGCGAGACCCCGUCUCU
rnacentral:SRP_RNA from 1 species